UGGAGAGUUUGAUCCUGGCUCAGAUUGAACGCUGGCGGCAGGCCUAACACAUGCAAGUCGGACGGUAGCACAGAGAGCUUGCUCUUGGGUGACGAGUGGCGGACGGGUGAGUAAUGUCUGGGGAUCUGCCCGAUAGAGGGGGAUAACCACUGGAAACGGUGGCUAAUACCGCAUAACGUCGCAAGACCAAAGAGGGGGACCUUCGGGCCUCUCACUAUCGGAUGAACCCAGAUGGGAUUAGCUAGUAGGCGGGGUAAUGGCCCACCUAGGCGACGAUCCCUAGCUGGUCUGAGAGGAUGACCAGCCACACUGGAACUGAGACACGGUCCAGACUCCUACGGGAGGCAGCAGUGGGGAAUAUUGCACAAUGGGCGCAAGCCUGAUGCAGCCAUGCCGCGUGUAUGAAGAAGGCCUUCGGGUUGUAAAGUACUUUCAGCGGGGAGGAAGGCGAUGYGGUUAAUAACCGCGUCGAUGACGUACCCGCAGAAGAAGCACCGGCUAACUCCGUGCCAGCAGCCGCGGUA
rnacentral:rRNA from 1 species